rnacentral:tRNA from 1 species
GGGGAUUUUGCUUAGCAGCAUAAGCACCUGCUUUGCAAGCAGGCAGUCAUGAGUUCAAUUCCCA